GCCGGGCACGGUGGCGCACACCUGCAAUCCCAGUGGCAUUGGAGGCUGAGACAGGAGGAUAGUGAGUUCAAAGCCAGCCUCAGCAACAGUGAGGCACUAAGAAACUCCAUGAGACCCUGUCUCUA
rnacentral:sRNA from 1 species